rnacentral:rRNA from 1 species
UACGGAGGGUGCGAGCGUUGUUCGGAAUCACUGGGCGUAAAGCGCGUGUAGGCGGCCUUUUAAGUCUGAUGUGAAAGCCCGGGGCUCACCCCCGGAAGUGCAUUGGAAACUGGGAGGCUAGAGUACCGGAGAGGAAGGUGGAAUUCCUGGUGUAGCGGUGAAAUGCGUAGAUAUCAGGAGGAACACCGGUGGCGAAGGCGGCGAUCUGGGCUGAUACUGACGCUGAGGUGCGUAAGCGUGGGGAGCAAACAGG